rnacentral:rRNA from 1 species
GACAGAGGGUGCAAACGUUGUUCGGAAUUACUGGGCGUAAAGCGCGUGUAGGCGGCCCUGUAAGUCGGGCGUGAAAUCCCACGGCUCAACCGUGGAAGUGCAUUCGAAACUACAGGGCUAGAGUUCUGGAGAGGAAGGUGGAAUGCUUGGUGUAGAGGUGAAAUUCGUAGAUAUCAAGCGGAACACCGGUGGCGAAGGCGGCCUUCUGGACAGUAACUGACGCUGAGACGCGAAAGCGUGGGGAGCAAACAGG